CCUANGGGGGGCAGCAGUGAGGAAUUUUGCGCAAUGGGGGAAACCCUGACGCAGCAACGCCGCGUGAGUGAUGAAGGCUUUCGGGUCGUAAAGCUCUGUCAGGUGGGAAGAACCUACUUAUGGCUAAUAUCCAUGAGUACUGACGGUACCACUGAAGGAAGCACCGGCUAACUCCGUGCCAGCAGCCGCGGUAAUACGGGGGGUGCAAGCGUUAUUCGGAUUUACUGGGCGUAAAGCGCGCGCAGGCGGUUUUGUAAGUCAGAUGUGAAAGCCCGGGGCUCAACCCCGGAAGUGCAUCUGAUACUGCAAGACUUGAGUAUGGGAGAGGGAAGUGGAAUUCCUGGUGUAGAGGUGAAAUUCGUAGAUAUCAGGAGGAACAUCGGUGGCGAAGGCGACUUCCUGGACCAAUACUGACGCUGAGGCGCGAAGGCGUGGGGAGCAAACAGGAUUAGAUACCCUUNUANUC
rnacentral:rRNA from 1 species